rnacentral:rRNA from 1 species
GACGUAGGUGGCGAACGUUAUCCGGAAUCAUUGGGCGUAAAGGGUGCGUAGAUGGCUUGAUAAGUUAGCAGUGGUAAAUCGAGGCUCAACCUCGUGGAAGCUGGUAAUACUGUCAGGCUUGAGUGCAGGAGAGGUUAACGGAACUCCAUGUGGAGCGGUAAAAUGUGUAGAUAUAUGGAAGAACACCAAUAACGGCGAAGGCAGUUAACUAUUCUGUUACUGACAUUGAGGCACGAAAGCGUGGGGAGCAAAACGG